rnacentral:rRNA from 2 species
UUUAAUUCGAAGCAACGCGAAGAACCUUACCAGGGCUUAACAUGCCGCUGACCGGUGCAGAGAUGCAUCUUUACCCUUUCGGGGUACUAGCGGACACAGGUGGUGCAUGGUUGUCGUCAGCUCGUGUCGUGAGAUGUUGGGUUAAGUCCCGCAACGAGCGCAACCCUUGUCUUUAGUUGCCAUCAUUAAGUUGGGCACUCUAAAGAGACUGCCGAUGACAAAUCGGAGGAAGGUGGGGAUGACGUCAAAUCAUCAUGCCCUUUAUGUCCUGGGCUACACACGUGCUACAAUGGUCGGUACAACGAGAAGCAAGUCAGCGAUGGCAAGCAAAUCUCUAAAAGCCGAUCCCAGUUCGGAUUGCAGGCUGCAACUCGCCUGCAUGAAGUCGGAGUUGCUAGUAAUCGCGGAUCAGAAUGCCGCGGUGAAUGCGUUCCCGGGUCUU